GUCUACGUCUGGUCAAUGUGGAAAUGGUUGGCUUGAAUUUGGUCGCUGUCUAGGCCGAUCUGGUCUUUAGGAGCUUGACCUUUGGAUGCUCAGCUUUUUGGAUCUCAGCCUUUACAUAUUCGGCCUUCAUCUCGGUCUCGAGUUUGGUGGCUCAGCCUUGGGCUUAGUAACUUGGUCUCAGGCAUUAUCUUGAUCUCGACCUCGAACUUAAUAGUUUGAUCUUUGGCAACACCUCAGUUUUGACACUUCAUGGAUUUAUUGAUCUACGAAAAAGGAGCAAAAUGAUGGAUGGAGGCUAGAGAGCUUCUCAUCAUGAGAUCUUGGGCCACGCAAGUCUCUCUCUUUUAGAGCUUAUUUUUUUUGGCAUCUUCUUAGUCUUAUUUAUAUAGAGGAGGAAGCAUAGAUCC
rnacentral:lncRNA from 1 species